GCUUAGGCGUGUGACUGCGUACCUUUUGUAUAAUGGGUCAGCGACUUAUAUUCUGUAGCAAGGUUAACCGAAUAGGGGAGCCGAAGGGAAACCGAGUCUUAACUGGGCGUUAAGUUGCAGGGUAUAGACCCGAAACCCGGUGAUCUAGCCAUGGGCAGGUUGAAGGUUGGGUAACACUAACUGGAGGACCGAACCGACUAAUGUUGAAAAAUUAGCGGAUGACUUGUGGCUGGGGGUGAAAGGCCAAUCAAACCGGGAGAUAGCUGGUUCUCCCCGAAAGCU
rnacentral:rRNA from 1 species